GGGAUAAGCCACCGAAAGGUGGUCUAAUACCUUAUAGUAUCCAUCUCGUAUGGAUUAAAGCUUUAUGCGCUUUGGGAGGGGCCUGCGUUUGAUUAGCUAGUUGGUGAGGUAAAAGCUCACCAAGGCGACGAUCAAUAGCUGGUUUGAGAGGAUGACCAGCCACACUGGGACUGAGAUACGGCCCAGACUCCUACGGGAGGCAGCAGUAAGGAAUCUUCCACAAUGGGGCAACCCUGAUGGAGCAAUACCGCGUGCAGGAUGAAGCGUUUCGGCGUGUAAACUGCUUUUAUCACCGAAGAUUAUGACUGUAGGUGAAGAAUAAGGACCGGCUAACUACGUG
rnacentral:rRNA from 1 species